UGCAUGGCUGUCGUCAGCUCGUGUCGUGAGAUGUUGGGUUAAGUCCCGCAACGAGCGCAACCCUCGCCCUUAGUUGCCAUCAUUUAGUUGGGCACUCUAAGGGGACUGCCGGUGAUAAGCCGGAGGAAGGUGGGGAUGACGUCAAGUCCUCAUGGCCCUUACGGGCUGGGCUACACACGUGCUACAAUGGCGGUGACAGAGGGAUGCAAAGGGGCGACCCUUCGCAAAUCUCAAAAAUCCGUCUCAGUUCGGAUUGGGGUCUGCAACUCGACCCCAUGAAGUUGGAAUCGCUAGUAAUCGCAGAUCAGCACGCUGCGGUGAAUACGUUCCCGGGCCUUGUACACACCGCCCGUCACACCAUGGGAGUUGGCUUUACCUGAAGACGGUGCGCUAACCGCAAGGAAGCAGCCGGCCACGGUAGGGUCAGCGACUGGGGUGAAGUCGUAACAAGGUAGCCGUA
rnacentral:rRNA from 1 species